rnacentral:rRNA from 1 species
UGGGGAAUAUUGCACAAUGGGCGCAAGCCUGAUGCAGCAACGCCGCGUGAACGAUGAAGGUCUUCGGAUCGUAAAGUUCUGUUGCAGGGGAAGAUAAUGACGGUACCCUGUGAGGAAGCCCCGGCUAACUACGUGCCAGCAGCCGCGGUAAUACGUAGGGGGCUAGCGUUAUCCGGAUUUACUGGGCGUAAAGGGUGCGUAGGUGGUCUUUCAAGUCGGUGGUUAUAGGCUACGGCUCAACCGUAGUUAGCCUCCGAAACUGGAAGACUUGAGUGCAGGAGAGGAAAGUGGAAUUCCCAGUGUAGCGGUGAAAUGCGUAGAUAUUGGGAGGAACACCAGUAGCGAAGGCGGCUUUCUGGACUGCAACUGACACUGAGGCACGAAAGCGUGGGUAGCAAACAGG